rnacentral:SRP_RNA from 1 species
GCCGGGCAUGGUGGUGCAUGCCUGUAAUCCCAGGUACUUGGGAGGCUGAGGCAGGGGAAUUGCUUGAACCCAGGAGGUGGAGGUUGCGGUGAGCCGAUAUCGCGCCAUUUCACUCCAGCCUGGGCAACAAAAGCAAAACUCUGUCUCUC